CGUCAUUCGCACAUGCGCAGUCAGGAAUGUAGCAUGUAACAAACUGCCCUUUUCUCUUUAAAGAAAAACAGUGCAAAGAAAAUGUAUUUUGUCUCCUUAACCCAGGGGACCCCAAAUUACAGCCGACGGGCCAGAUACGGCACGCCAGCGUCCAAAAUCCGGCCUGCGGGUAGUACCAAUCUCUUAGGCAGAUACAGCACGCCAACGUCCAAAAUCGGGCCCCUAAAAAGAAGAUACGGCACGCCAGCGUCCAAAAUCCGGACCGCGGGUAGUCCUGCCUGACUAAAAAAAAAAAA